rnacentral:lncRNA from 1 species
CUCCCCGAGCGGCUCACCGGCUUUACGUCGGUUGGUGGCCGCGUCUGGGACCGAACCGGGCACCGCCUUGUGGAAAAAAAAGAAUAGAAUAUACCCUGUUAAAUCAGACAUGAUACUUGCUUUUGUGGAGCUUAUGCUUUAGUGCAGAAACAGAAAGUCAAGCAAAAACUCAAACUAUGUAACUUUAAAUUGGAUAUGUGCUAAUGAAGGAAAAUGUGGCACUGUAAGAAAAAAUAAUAGGGAGUUAAAGGAUAAAUAGGAGUUUGCUGGAUGAAAUUUAUGAAGAGCUGAAGAUUUCAAACAAAAGAAACUGAUGCAGGAGGGUGCAGCUUUGGAGUCAAGAAUGAAGUUCUAGGAGAUAGAGAGCAAAGAAAUGGUGGGAGAGGAGGUCAAAACGGAAUGAAGUUGAUAAUAGUGAGACCUUGUUGGUACAAGACUAUGUAACAUAACCUGCGCUUCUCAACAAAGAAUUGCUUUUCUGACUUCUGCACUCACAAGACAAAUCUCUCCUCUGCCUUCUCCUUAUCAGACUACUCAACAUGAAGGCAAUAAGAAUGAAGACCUCUAUGUAUAAUAAUUGACUUCCACUUAAUAAAUAAGGUUACUUGGUACACUGGUCGACAAAACCUUGAAAUGUUGAUGUUUAAGGGCUGUUGAUUGCUGGCAGCAAAGAAGUCCAACUGUGCUGGUACCCGAGAUAGCGUCUCCACAUUUUCUUCCAGGAUCAUCACCUUUGUUCUAAAUAGCUCCCACAUAGUGUGAACAGAAGUCAUAUGUUUUAGAUUUUCUGCCUUGGCACCCAGG